rnacentral:rRNA from 1 species
GAUGAACGCUGGCGGCGUGCCUAAUACAUGCAAGUCGAGCGAACAGAUGAGGAGCUUGCUCCUCUGACGUUAGCGGCGGACGGGUGAGUAACACGUGGAUAACCUACCUAUAAGACUGGGAUAACUUCGGGAAACCGGAGCUAAUACCGGAUAAUAUAUUGAACCGCAUGGUUCAAUAGUGAAAGACGGUUUUGCUGUCACUUAUAGAUGGAUCCGCGCCGCAUUAGCUAGUUGGUAGGGUAACGGCUUACCAAGGCGACGAUGCGUAGCCGACCUGAGAGGGUGAUCGGCCACACUGGGACUGAGACGCGGUCCAGACACCGACGGGAGGCAGCAGUAGGGAAUCUUCCGCAAUGGGCGAAAGCCUGACGGAGCAGCGGCGCGUGAGUGAUGAAGGUCUGCGGGUCGUAAAACACUGUUAUUGGGGAAGAACAAAUGUGUAAGUAACUAUGCGCGUCUUGACGGGACCUAAUCAGAAAGCCACGGCUAACUACGU